CCUACGGGAGGCAGCAGUAAGGAAUAUUGGUCAAUGGAGGCAACUCUGAACCAGCCAUGCCGCGUGCAGGAAGAAGGCCCUAUGGGUCGUAAACUGCUUUUGUACCAGAGAAAACCCGAGUACGUGUACUCGGUUGAUAGUAUGGUAAGAAUAAGCAUCGGCUAACUUCGUGCCAGCAGCCGCGGUAAGACGAAGGAUGCAAGCGUUAUCCGGAUUCAUUGGGUUUAAAGGGUGCGUAGGCGGACUGAUAAGUCAGUGGUGAAAUCCCUCGGCUUAACCGAGAAACUGCCAUUGAUACUGUUAGUCUAGAGUAUAGAUGACGUUGGCGGAAUAUGACAUGUAGUGGUGAAAUACUUAGAUAUGUCAUAGAACACCGAUUGCGAAGGCAGCUAACGAAACUAUAACUGACGCUGAGGCACGAAAGUGCGGGGAUCAAACAGGAUUAGAUACCCUGGUAGUCCGCACCGUAAACGAUGAUUACUCGUUGUUGGCAAUAUGACCGUCAGCGACCAAGCGAAAGCGAUAAGUAAUCCACCUGGGGAGUACGCCGGCAACGGUGAAACUCAAGGAAUUGACGGCNGAGAGNGCGAGACGACGACGAGGGAGGAGG
rnacentral:rRNA from 1 species